rnacentral:misc_RNA from 1 species
GGUUCAAUCCCCGGACAGGGAGCCA